AAAUUGAAGAGUUUGAUCAUGGCUCAGAUUGAACGCUGGCGGCAGGCCUAACACAUGCAAGUCGAACGGUAGCACAGAGAGCUUGCUCUCGGGUGACGAGUGGCGGACGGGUGAGUAAUGUCUGGGAAACUGCCUGAUGGAGGGGGAUAACUACUGGAAACGGUAGCUAAUACCGCAUAACGUCGCAAGACCAAAGAGGGGGACCUUCGGGCCUCUUGCCAUCAGAUGUGCCCAGAUGGGAUUAGCUUGUUGGUGAGGUAACGGCUCACCAAGGCGACGAUCCCUAGCUGGUCUGAGAGGAUGACCAGCCACACUGGAACUGAGACACGGUCCAGACUCCUACGGGAGGCAGCAGUGGGGAAUAUUGCACAAUGGGCGCAAGCCUGAUGCAGCCAUGCCGCGUGUAUGAAGAAGGCCUUCGGGUUGUAAAGUACUUUCAGCGGGGAGG
rnacentral:rRNA from 1 species